rnacentral:misc_RNA from 1 species
GGGGGGCGGGAGGAGGGAAGAGAGGGAGGGCAUUUCCCAACUUCCUAUUAACUUUUAGCAAGAGUAAGGAUUUCUCAGUUUCAUAUUAAUUUGAGUCCCCUGUCAAGUUUUAACAACAAACAUACAACCAAUUUUAAGAAUUUUAGAAGUAAUCCACAACUAAAAUAGAGCCUUCAAAUGCAGAUAUGCAUAAACAAAAAAUUUGAAUAAUGAUGACUGUAACU